UUAAUUACUCAGAAUGGAUUGCACACUUUUAUGAGGAGCCUACGAAUAAGAACCCAGGCAUCUGCGAUUCUUAGAACUUGGUGCUGUUGGCUUUUCACCUAUUGAGGGGCUUUGCUGAUGGUUGGGCAGCAAAAGAGUCUCCGAGAAAGGCCAGGAGAGCGCGUAAGGAGAGGACCCCACAGGCAACCUCCCAGGCUGAAAUGGUCUUUGGAGUGGGAGAUGCCGUAAUUGGUUUUGGACGGCCCUUGGCAGGAGAGCCACAAUCAAUCACACUAAAGAGUGUGAACUUGGGACAGACAGCGGAGUCGAGGAGAUGGAUUAGAGAGUGCAGCUGCUGGCAGAAGCUCCUCUGCUGAUCUUUCUUUUCAGCCUUCUUUCCUUGACAAUUCAUUAAUCAACUAACACACAUUUGUUAAGCUCCUAUUAUUGAAUGUCUACCUGCGUGGGGGGUUCCAUAGAGAACAGAAUAAGUACUGAUAAGAGAGACAAUGCUGAUUACAAAAUAACAACUGCCCCUUUUUAUUAAUGACCACCCAUGGGCUCUCAAGGAAUGCUGUGCUUCACACAGGUUGUUUAUGGUUCUCGGGGAGUCACUGCAUGGUGGUAAUGCCAGCCCCAUUCUAAAUAUGAAGAAGUCAACGCUCAAAGCAGUGAAACUCACUAAAAGCCUUCAAAUAAGUAGUGAAAGAGUAAGACAAUAUCACUAUGCCAUUCAUUAUGAUGGUGAUGUCACAGUCAUUCAGUAUCCAUGGGGGAUUGGUUCCAGGACUCCCACGGAUAUCAAAAUGCAAGGAUGCUCAAGUCUCUUUUAUAAAAUGGCAUCGAAUUUGCCUAUAACCUACAUAUAUCCUCCUGUAUUCUUUAAAUCAUCUCUAGAUAACUUAGAAUACCUAAUAAACAUAAGUGCUAUGUAAACACAGUUGACACUUGAUCACCAGAGAUUUGAACUGUGCAGAUCCACUUCCAUGUGAAUUUGUUUCACUAAAUCCAUACUCCUGCUGAUGCUGCUAAGUCACUUCAGUCGUGUCCGACUCUGUGCGACCCCAUAGAUGGCAGCCCACCAGGCUCCCCCCUCCCUGGGAUUCUCCAUACUACAAGACUAUGA